GGGGAUCUUGCUGGAGAUCCCUCUGUAGCUGAGACCUUCCAAAGCAGUCCAUUUCAAUAAGGAAGGAUUACUGAAAUGUGGUCUCUGAGGGACAUCUGUUUAUCCACUUUGAAGAAGAGUGUGGCUAAAUGUUUUCCAGAGACCUCGGGCUUCCCACGAAGGCAGCCUCCUGUGUGCACAGAUAACCCACUGCAGGAUUCUGCACAUCUCUCAGGUUUCAAAGAUGACUUCAAAAAAAAUUAGGACGUGUAUUUUGCUUACUGCAAAUGUAAAUAUAAAUCCCCGUCAGCAACAGUGUAAUCCAGCGGUGAUCUCUCUCAAAUUGAAACAAAUAAUAGAUGUUGUGAGAACAGCAAAGGAUUGAUGGUGUCAUCCUUACAGGCAGCUUAGAUGAAAGGAAUUCUGUGUUGGCUGUGCAGAUCAGCAUUGGAGUGGCACCAGAAGGAACAGAUAAACAGCUACUCAGCCCCAGUGCUGCCUGCUGGGGACAGCUGUGUUGGGGUGCUGUGUGGGCCCAUUCUGCCUCACUGCAAUUCUUCUCUGUACAGAACACCCUGGCAGACCUCUUCAGCCAGCAGCAGCGAUGAAGCUCCUCCAGACAGCUGCUGCUCCAGCACAUCAAUUCCUGCAGCCACCUCCUGCCAUGGCCAUGCUCGCACUACCUGUGGCUUUCUUACCUGCAGUCCAUAUGGGCAGCCCCAGCCAUGCUCCCUGCAUCUGCAGCCAGGGCAAUGCUCUGCUCUCUGCAGCUCCUCUCAGAUGAGAGCCGGGUCCCAGGCUGCUUUCCUGAUGAAAGAAUUUAAUCAUGCCUGUGUCUGACAGAGUGAUUGGUGCGGGCUUGAGCUAGAGGAAGAUCUGUCAUUGACUUGGGAUCCAGCUUGUGCCUGCUGCAUCUAUUAACGUGUCUCAGCACAAUAUAAAUAGCUCUGUUUUGUUUAAAAUCUUGCUUAUGGUUGAAAAACAAAUGAUAUAGCUUAAAAUGUACAUGUGGCUUGGUCCCCUGAUGAUGCUUCAAGGAAAUUAAUCUGAAGAAUAAUGAAAAAUACUUGAGGAAAAGAAAAUACAUCCCAAAGCGCAUUUUAAUGAGCCUUUCUUAAGCACAGAAAACAAAAAUAAAACUCCACCCUCUCUUCUUUUUACAAGAAAAGCAACAUCAAAGAAGAGGAGAAAUUGUCAACGCAAUUACAGGCAGUGCAGCGCAGGAAGCAGUGAUGUGCUCUGCAACUGGAGCUGUGGGUUUGUGUUGGGAGUGGGGUCCUGCUGGGUGCCUGUGUGUGCACAGCUCUGCUUUUCCCAGCGCUGUCUGGGCAUCUUUAAUUGCUGAGUCUGUGAGAUAAGUUUAGGAAGAGAAGUCCUGGUGUGUGCAAUGAGGAUUAAUCUGUUCAUUACAGGAAGGCCCCACCGUGCCUGACCUGAAAUCCUUGCCAGGCGCUGUCCUCUAUGGCCAGCAGACAGAAACGAGCUGUUAUUUUGGGCAGGAUCAGGGUGUGCUGCAAAUGAAAUCAAAGUGAAUGUAGCAAAGCACAGAGUUCCUGAGUACUGAGAUCUGGGUUAAUGCAUUUUCCAGUGAUAGCUUUGUAUUGUAUUGGGAACUUUUGGCUUUCUCCAGUGCAACACCAGGGGAUUCUUCCAGGCUAUGAGCUUGGGAUGAAGGCUGGACCAGUGGACAGCCAUGUUCCAAAAUGGCAUGCAUGGGCUGGGAGUCACCCUUGGCUGUGCCUGGCUCUGCUGGGACCAGGAGGCUUCAGUCGGGCACUACAUGUGUGCUGUUUGAGCUGUUGGUAGGACACCUGGUAUUUCUCCCUGCAGAUGCUGGAGGUUUCCAGCCUGGCCACCAUGGAAAUCUAGGUGCUCUGAUGUCAAGCCAUCACUGUUGUUUUGGGCAAGCAUCAGAGUGGCAAAGUGGGCAACACAAU